GUGCUUGCUUCAGCAGCACUUACACUAAAAUUGGAAUGAUACAAAGAUUAGCAUGGCCCCUGUGCAACCAUGACACGCAAAUUUGUGAGGUGUUUCAUAUUUUU